CAGCCUGCCUGCCUGCCAGAUCUCCCAGCCCUUCCCAGAGGACUGAGUUUAAGAAGGGAAGGGAAGGAAAGGGCAGGAAAGAACUAUAUUGUCUGAGCCAUGCUCACAGUUUCCAGGUGACUUCUGUCCAUUUGCCUCUCGCUUUCCUUGCGCUGCAGCUGGCAGAUGAGAUGGAUGCAUUAUUUCACACAGGAAAACAACAGGCUUCUUUCUCUCCCUCUCCCUGUCUCCUUCAAACAUGGGCUGACUCCAAAUGUAGCUCUCGGCUCCAAACACCAUCCUGGGCCAGUCCCAGCUGGGGAAUGUCAGACAGUUUGCUGCAAAGUACUGCACCCUCUCAAAGCGCUGCACUUCAAACAAAAGCAGCCCUGCUGACUUUUCCUAUACACAGCAUGUGAUAUGAACGCAACAUAGUCCAAACCUUUUGCUAGCUUGAUUACAUUUAAUUUUUCAUUCUUACAGUAAGAGCUGAAAUGUGAUUUAACCCUUCCUGUUAGUACUUGGAUCCUUUCGGCUUGUCUUCCUUUGUUCCCAACCUUAUCACAAAGGUGUUUUACAGACGGAAGACAAGUGAUGAAGUUAUAACUUUACCUCUCUCCUUUGACUGCACAAGGCCUGGAUUUUUACCGACUCGCUCCUUAGUUUACAGUUCCUCAGCUUCAAAGGUGACAGAUCAGAUUUUAGUACCAAUUGCUGGACCAGGCUUUAAAGCACGAAUUACUGGUCCUUCCACAACCAAUUUGCCUCCAGGUGUCUUUUCCUCUCCCCCCUCCUUAGGUAUCACAGCCUGGAAACAGAUUUCCCCACCUCGCUUCGGCCAGCGUUACCUCAAGAGUAUAAGAUGACAAGGCCUCAACGCGAGAUUGAGCAAUUAGAGCCAGGAGUGAGAGCCAAGUCUCUUACUUUCUAUUCCCAGCUCUGGCACUGACUCGUCCGCCUUGGGCAAGUUUCUUAACCCCUCUCUACCUCUGGGUUAUCCAUCUGUGUGGGAAUGCACCGCUGGACUCAGCUGCUGCACGACUGCCUCGCCAAGGACUACGGGUUUGGAGUGAAAGUCGCUCUGGUGAAAAAGAAAUCCCAGGGAGUGAGGAGCCCGAGUCCACGAGGGUUUGCUUGUGAACGAGGGAGGAUGUAGCUAAAAGGGUUUUAUUUCCCAGCUCUGUACCUUCAUUCCUGGAGACGCCAAUUUGGAGCUAAAGCAGAUGAACCGUAGCAACCUAGCGCCAUACACCAAGGCAACUCGAAGUCAGCACCGGGUGACUUUAACACCGCGAGCUGCACGCACGUGGCAGUUCCUCAGGCACUGCUUCGCCCUCGGGUCAGCACCAGUUGGAGCAAGCACAGAGGGAACCGACCCUCCAGCCACCACCACAUCCACACCCUGAGGUGCCGCAGCCCCUCAGCCCCUGCACUUUGCGCUGCUCCCCAGCAGACCCCUCGGGGUUACAGGAGAUUUGGGUUAGCCUCAGCCAGCCUUUUGCUGAACCGAGCCUAUGCGGACAACGUCAGGAAGCAAACGCAUGCUCUGCGCUUCUCCAGGCUGCUCAGAGACAGAAAAACAAGCAAAAUGUUCCAGCGAAGCAAAGCGUGUUUGGGUUUGCUAAGUCGGGAGGGAGCCGAAGGGGGUGGCAGGAAAACAACAGGUGGCGCAAAGUCAAAAGCUUGCAGCAUUUCCAGGAAUCUCAGCUUGUAUUUUAGAGGUUACGUUCUUGGCCUGUGUCGGUGCUUUAGGAUGGAGAAGCACAAAGCAAACUACCCACAGCUAGACGCAGGCUGGGACAGACGUGGGGCUCAAAACCAUACAUAUUCUCUCUAGAUAUUUCUGUAUUUACAGUGUUCAUGUAAACUUUCUGUUUUGUCAGAUAACCUUAUGCUGUGCGUUAGAUCCACUGAGGUGAGUGAUAUAAUUUUAUAAAAGCUUUCUCCCUCUCUCCGAUCUGCAUUUACUCUCACUAGACUUCCUGGACUCGCCACAAUAUGAUUUUGGUUAUUUUUUUGCAAUAUAAACGUCCUAAGCCUUCAGCAUUCGAUCUAUUAGCAGAGUAAAAUGUGUGGGACAGGCAGGAUUAGAAGUUAGUCAUCUUUAAAAACAGAGGCUGCCUUACCGACUCAGCAUGUUACACAACCUGGUAUGACAUCAAAGCAAAUUAAGAUUCCUGAAGACCAGACCGUCCCUGUUACAGGCACAGCUGUCCCCCCCAUCAGCAACAGGGUGGUUCCAAAUGUACCAGUCUUUCUGCUUGAUGCUUCAGGAAGAUAGCACUCCGCACGGGCUUUUUAAAUGAUGUGUUCACAAAGGGCACAGACCCACGAAAACGCUGCGUAAAGCAUCUUUCAUUGUUUGUCACAACCUCGCCGUAAGGAGCUUUCCUGAACUUUUAUGAACUCAAUACCACAGAGCACAACCUUGCCUCCCCGCGUGCAGCUCCACCUCAAAACAUCUUGGCACUGACCUUCAGAGUCACUGCGUGCAUCCCUGUCAGGGAUGGUGCACCCUUUAGUGGUGGGGCGAGGGAUCUUUGGCAGCCGCUGCUCAGCUUACGCGGCAGUUUGGCCAGAUCCCUGGCACGAGGGGGGGCAAGCGCCUCUGAGCCACUGGGCAUAAUCGAUGGUGGUUUUGCAACAACCAGCUUGUGCACACGCACAGCUGUGCUAGCGUUUAACCCCCUUCUUCUCCAGCUCUCAGACCGAUCCACUGCUCUCGUCACCCUCCAUCUCCUCAUAUUCCCCAACCUCUGUCUGGAACAAGCACUGAGGAAGGCUGCAAAGGAGAGAAGAGGCUGUGCUGAGGGCUGAACUCUGCUGAGAAGGAACCGAAACGUCCUACAGGAAUAGAAGGAAAAGAGUCCUACAAGGUAAAUGGCAGAUUUCACACAAGAAUGUAGGAAACCACAUGGCUCUGCACCACCUGUGUGAAUGAGGCUGUGGGGCACUGCACAGGCUAUUAGAAGGGGCUCAAUCAGUAUCUGAAAGGGGUCAUUCAGCUGCUGGAAGAUGUCAGGUCAGCGUUUUUAUGCCAUACACUUUAUGUAUCUUAUCAUUGGCCUCCACGAGGAGUCCUGUCUGUGGCAAGGAGGAAGAGAGCGCGAGAAUCGGAAUGAGCCAGAUGUGAAUUUAACUCAGCUACCCUGACAGCUACCCUGUCCCAUCCCCAGCACAGACAGCAUCUUCUUUUUGUUGUCACUGCAAGCAAGUUUUUGCAAGCUUCGAUCUAAUCAACAAGGGUAGCGUGUUCAUUUGAAAGCCAAUAGGGCCCAGGAUCACAAGGCAUGUAGGCACUUUUAUCCUUAAAUCCUGAUGCUGAUUUUAGUUCCUCUUUGUGUAAUAAAUGAUCAAAGCAAGGAAGAUCCACCACAGCCUAGUGAGUGCAUAUGUUUUGUGGGUGGCUUUGUUUUGCUUUUGUCUCUCCACAGGAGCGAGGAGGGGAAAAUACACAAGUGGAAAAGCAAUUUAAGUGCAAACCAAAUGUAAUGACUCUGCCCGUGAUGCUGGGACAUAAAUCCAAACUGUAAUUGCAUGCAGACUGCUUGAUAGCAUGCGCUGUUUGUGCCUGAAUGCCACCAGGAUGUGACACAGGCUCUUCCCAUUUCUGACAGGAGCACAACAAACAGGUGAAUUUAACCACACAAGAUUUUUGUGACCCUGAUGCUGAGGCAGGUAAAUAAAGGACAAUAGUCUUGAGUAUCUGCUCCACAAGACCAUGAACCUCUCAGAGUCUAAUGGCACUUGCCACAGACCCUUACAGAAGGCAGCCGUUAGAGGAACGCGCGCUUUUAACUGGCCAAGCAAACUCCUGUUAACACUUUAUAGAUGUAGAUAGGCUGGCUGGUUGGGCUGUUCCAACAUGACACACGCUUGUGCCCUGUUGAAAGGGCUUAUCUGUCUUGUCAGCAAGGUCGCCAGAGCAGGGAUAGCCUCUGGGCAGGCUUCACUGGGAGCUCUACUCAGCUGAGACUGUUCAGCCUGCAAGAAGGAAUAGCUCCUGUGUGGAAAAGCAAUAGCCAAGUUAGGGAAGAAAACAACUCUUCUUAGAAGUUUAAACACCUUGUUGUUAAUAAAGCAUGUCAAGUAGGAAGGACGGCUUCAGGAAACUGCGGAACAAGGUCUCGGAAGAUCCAGGGAAGAAAAAUUGAUCUCUGAAGCAGAACUGAUAAUGUGCUAACCCAGGCUGGCGUGAAAUAAUAGCUGUACAAGCUUGUAAAAUUGUAUGGUCAAAAUCAAAAGCAUCCACCACCACUUAGCCAGAAAGUUCUUCAAGCCUCUUUAAUAGGACCAGUUACUUCUUCAGUUCCUUAGGUCGAAAAGAAAGAAGUCUGACCCAGGAACAUAAUCAGGGGGGCAAAAAGCUUCCGUAAGGAAAGGAGCUCCUUUUCCAGGGCUCCUGAAAAACUACAGAAAGUCCAGACCCUUUCCCGGGUUGUUUAUACUAAUCACGCCCCACUUCACCCUGAAACAGCAAUUGCUUCCAUGCAGUGUGACCUGCAGUAUACGCUGGAUUGGAGCAGGUAUUUUAAGCCUAAAAUCAAUCAGCCAUUUAUGGGUUCGUUCUUUUGCCAUUUACAGGUUCUUUCUUUUGCCAUCUACUCUUCUUCCCUUCUCCAACGUUUUCUCUUCAGAUCCUUGACCACUAAAACACUUCUUUUCCCUUGCAUGCUCCUGCACUCCUCUUUCAUUUUCCAGCUGCCUUUGCUAGUUUCCCCGACGUGCAAUUGAACAUUAAAUGGUUUGACAGGCAGAACAUGUACUCACCCAACCACUUACUCCCAAUCAAUAUUCACGAGGAAUUCCUGUUAACAAGCAAGAGUUAUGCACACACUUGGAAGGGAGGAGGGCCUCUUAAGUGAUUAUUUCAUCCAAAGGCAUGACUGAUCAUUUUCCUGUCCACCUUAAUAAGCGGCAUUCAGAUUUUCCACCCCAUCUACCACCAGCAAGGCGGUUUUUACAACAGUAAGAUCACAACUUUCAACGUGAUCCCUAUUGUUCAUCUCUGCAAUUACCUGGGGAAUCUAACGCGGGUUCAAAAUAACAGAAAAUCCAGCAUAUAGUCAGCUUUUAUUCGGUUAAAAAUGAGCCUUCCAGAGAUUCUUUGCUAAUCUUUUCCAACCCAGACACGGCAGGAUCACACGUUAGUGAACACUGUUUACACUAGUGGUUCUUUACUCUGAAUUACGCACCAUUCCUCGCGGUGCCAGUGGAAGCAAUGAUGGAAGUGCUAAGCAUUGCACAGAGCAGAAGGUAAAUGGCAAAACUGAUGUUUUACUCCCUGGGCUUUGAACCACGUUCACUUUUUAACACCUCUGCUGAAACAGUUUUAGCCUUGUUAUACGCAGAGGAACUAAAAUACACUGCCUGUUCUCAAGCCUUCCAGGACGCUUGAAGGUAAACAAAAUGGAUUUUGGAAGCAUUUAUGGCACCAUACUUUAAAAAGUCUGUUCUACCCCUGUUCCUGCUCUUACUUCGCACUGUGCAUCUAUUUGUGGCUGCUGCUGGGAAGGCAAUGGCGAGCGAGGCAGACCAUGCUCUGAGGAAGCACCACUGAGCUAAGGACCAAGAAAACUACCUGACACUUACGGACUGAUAACGAGGACUAACUGGGCAAAGUGGAAAGUCUGGAAACAGUGACACGCUGAUAUUUUCUUGAUUUUGUGCAAUUUUGUCACAAAACUGUAUCAAAGUUUCAAGCUUUUGGAGAGAAGAGAAAUGGAUAGAGGAUUAUACAUUCAUAAAUACUUUAAUUUGCUUUUACUGCAGUUGCAACUUUGCUUUUACUCGCCCCUGAGCAAACUAAAUUGCAGUUACUAGCAUUUUUAGGCAGGAAAGUCCAAUAUGCUAAAAAAAACUUUUAACUCAGCAAGUUAUUUAUGUUUGAAAUCUGCUCAGCCUGAGAAGACUAACAAAGGAGCUGCCUCUGCAGACAUGUGCUUUAUUUGCCAUAUGCCAUGAGACAGUCAAUCUACCACAGAUAUUAAUAGUAGUAACUUUGGGCUGGCUAUUCUGAGGUUCAAAUAUGAGGCUGUUUUUCAUAUUGACCUUAACAAAAGAUCAUGGUCACAAAUGACCCUAACAACUAAUCUAGGCUUGAUCUGCAGAGGGACAAGUUGGGAGCCAUCUUGUACGUUGUGCGUGACGCACCUGCCCUGGGACAACGCACCAGAAGAUGCUUUACGUUCACCAGUUACAUCUGCCCUGGGGCAAUACCCAAUCUUUGGCUAGGAGGAAGCAGAACCACCCAAACUUACUUGGUCUUAGGGUGUAAUGAAUACAUGGAACAUGCGCACAAGAUACCGUUCCCGUAUUCCAACUCCUAACACCUUGUACUCUGUCCCAAAAGACCAUUUGGGUCAUCCAUCCCCUUCCUCCAGAACAAAUCCUCACCUAGCAUGGCAGCUAAGCAGCACACAGACUUGAGAGCAGAAGCAAGCUGAGCCUGAAACAAUUCUCUAUCUGCAGGAGAAGCUGCCACGGCUGCACGUGAGAGUUAUGCUCACUAGUAAAGACAUAAUAAAGUAGCCUCAAGGGGUAACUGCUAUUCCAAGAACUGCCACCAUCUUUCACUAUCUUUUUCCUCUGGCUAAUUUUUACAUUGCUCUGUAUCUGCGCGGAUCGCGUUCUGAUGAUCUUUUAUUGAGUCUGAGGACCACGUGUUUCAUUUCUGCUGCUUUUCUAGAAGAAAUGAUUACUCAUUUCCCUGGAAUAGCCUCAGAUCCUUCGCUGUUUCCAUGCACUCACAUUAUAUCUGAAAGCUUGCAGAGGAGAUGCAAAUGAUUAGAACAGUUCCAACAGCCCAAACAAGAAGUCAAAACAGUGUCUCUUCUGGUGCAUGGGAGCACAUGAUUAAUGAGAAUUUCCUCCACUGGGAAAGGCUCUUGCAGUCUUUGGCCUCAAAAUCCAGCGGACUUUACACACCAGAGCCUUGCCAUGAACUCUGAGCAAAGCAAACACGAGAGGUAGGUUUAAGAGUAUCUUAUGCCUGUAUGUUGCUUGCACACUGAACAUCCUUGACUGUCGGCAUUCUUUCUAUUCACCUUUCCACAUCGAUAUAUUAAUAUUCAAAAAUAGAAUCUGAGUAGCACAGCCUGUAGUGCAGACCAAAACCUCGGGAAGAAGUCUCCCUCCAGCCUCUGAAAAGAACUGCCUGAAUAAACACUGGAGAAUUGGUCCCUGCAGACAUUACACCGACUGAAAACUGAAGCAAGCAGGGGCUGGGGGCUCCAGCAGCGUGAGCUGUCUGUUCAAACAGCUGGAUCUCAAUCUGCAUAUACCACUUUGCCUUACUUACCAGGGAAAGCUUUCUGUGUGCGAGACACCGUGCAACAGGGCAGGUAGCAGGGUUUUCUGGGCUGCCUGAGCCCUGUCCUGCACACAGGCAGAGCCUGCUGACUUCAACUGGACCCCGCACACGGCUGCAUCUGACUCAUCUGGAUUUUGUGCUUAUGAGUACAAAACCACUUGCUGCGACCCAGAUGGAAUUAACAGAGUAUUCUCCUUAUUUCUAAUUAUUAGAUCAUCCUUUUCUUACUCCAGCAAAGAUGACUUGCAGACUAAGUCUCUUGGGGGUCACGGCAGUUGUUUUGUUUGUACAGCAAUUAGCACAGCAGGAUCCCAGGCCACAGCCGAGCUAAGGCUACAUCUAUACGGCUGCAUCUGCUCAGGCCUCAAUUCCUCACUUAAGCCCAAAACUUCCAAUUUUCAACACCACCUACACUGAUGCUUAUAUGCAAGUGAACUCACAUCUCAUGUAUGGACCAGCCUGGACCUGAGCUGUAUGCUGGAAACAGUAUUGAUGCAGCAGUUUCAAGCCCUUUUCUCUAAGGGCUACCCAGAGCAGUCAGGAAUCGAAGCAGCAGUUCUCCUGAUACUCAGCCAAGUCUUCGCUAUCUAACUUGAAAACCAAAAUCACACUUGGCUCUGAUCGGUGGAGUGUAGUGACCGAGCACCGUUUCAGCUAACGGAGCAGGACACGCUUGGCUUGGAUGAAAGCGAAACAGCAGCUCAAAGAGUCUAACGGACCACAGGGGUCUUCAGAAAGGCUCUGCAAACCCCAGACAACUCCAGAGAAGCAGCAUAACAGCACUGACAUAACAGUUGCUUCCCCAAGUAUUCUCUAAGAAAACAAAAGUCAGCUGCUCCAGGAGGAAGAUCAACUAACUGUAUGAUCCCAAAUCUGCCAUGUUAGGGAUCCCCACGACUGGUCAACUCAUCUGGUACAAAGUGCAAACGAGAUGCAAUGAAAAUUAAAGCUAAAGUCAAGCAAAAAAGGGUCAUGUUAAAAGUUUAACUAAUUCAACCAAGAAGUACAGUGAAAUCGCCAACACUUCAGACAAAAAACUCUUAGAAACUGUGCGGAACAAGUAGAAACAUCGCUCGUGAUACAGGAAUUACUGGUCUUUGGCCAGUAUCACCCCAGACAUCCAGAAGGAACACAACGCAGCGCCCACCUUCACCAUCAUGCUGCUCCAGUGGGCAUCCGAACACACCACCAGUCCUUUCCAACAGGCACUGCAUGUUCCCUGCUACUCCCAUAUCCCAAUUCUCCAUGUAUUUAGUUCUCAAUUUUACAUGAUCUAUUUUGCCUGUGGCACAGUAGAUCAUUUACCCUCCUCCUAUUAGCCCUCUCUGUUUAAUUACAGUUUAAUGCGAAUUGAUCUUUACAUUAAUGAGCCUGUAAGGAAGAUUGAUUUUUUUCAAGAGACUUUUAUGCUCAGUUUGGCAGCAGAGUGGUCCUAUUGAUUUCGCUUUCCCCAGUAAAUACGCAGAGUGUUGCUGCAUCCUCUGUGAAUCAGCUAAUCCUAUUUCACACUCUUUUGCUCCAAAAAAAAUCCUUGCUCCGACUUCCUUGUUAUCUGUGUUUAUUCACAGCAAGAUCAUGGGGCCAAUGCACCUCAGACAGCUGUGGCUGUUGCUUACACACAGCAACUGCCGUGGGUCACUAUCCCUUUUGUUCCUAAAUGGCUGGGGGCUUAAAAGACUUGCAGUGAAAGAAACGAAAGUUAUUUUUAAGUGUUUAAUCUGUUAACUUCCUUAAUUCCUCGCCAGCUAAGGAUGUGGCACGGAGCGCUCUGUUUACCACGCCUGCUCAGAGGUCUGGUUAGCAGGCUCUCCACCGAGCUCUACAGCUGCACAGCAGCCUGUGCCGGCGUGUCUGCGGCGGUGGAUGCAGGCUGAAUCAGGCUGGCCACCUCGGAGCCAGGGCAGAGGAUGAGGAUCGAACCCCCAUCGCCCCUUGCAGCCGCCCCAAAAGCCCUCCAGCCCUGAUCGCAACUCAGCUCCUCCUCUCGUCCUCCACACUAGCAAGGCUAGUGACUCUUCACUCAAGCUGGCCGGGAAGUUGAAUGUAAUAAUUAGAUUCAGAUCUGCUUUAAAGAAAUGAUUUCAUCCAUCCUCCUCUCCCCCACCAGAUCAGGUCACAGCUCGAGAAAAGUCUUCUCAAGAGCCUACAGAGUUAACGCACUUGAGUUGCAGCAGAACAUUUGGAAGGGAAAUCCUCAGCCAAGUGGAUGUCAGUGAAAACAUCCUGCCAUCAACUCCCAAACGUCCAAGUCUAGGAACUGUAGCUAAAUUACAAAUGCUGUGGGAAUUUCAGGCAAGAUUCUCCUCUCAGCUACUCCGAUGUAAUUUCGGAAUGAAUCCAGAUUCACAGUCUCUCCCCCUCCCAGCUGAAUUUCCUGGCUUUUGUUUGCACUAACAGAUGUUUGCAUUUAAUGUCUGUCUUUAUUUGGUAACCAGUACAUAGAUUAUUUUUCCCUUCUGUUCUAUUAAAAGCCUUAUCAAGUC